rnacentral:misc_RNA from 1 species
GAUGAAGAACGUAGCGAAAUGCGAUAAGUAAUGCGAAUUGCAGAAUUCAGUGAGUCAUCGAAUCUUUGAACGCACAUUGCGCCCUGUGGUAUUCCGCAGGGCAUGCCUGUUCGAGCGUCAUUUCAACCCUCAAGCCUCGCUUGGUGUUGGGCCCUGCCCGCCGCGGCCGGCCCUAAAGAUAGUGGCGGCGCCGCCUGGCCCUCAGCGUAGUACAGCUCUCGCUCCAGGGUCCGGCGGCAGCCUGCCAGAACCCCCCUACUCUGUGGUUGACCUCGGAUCAGGUAGGGAUACCCGCUGAACUUAAGCAUAUCAAUAAGCGGAGGA